UGCACUUGUUGUGCAAUUCUUUUUGGCAGUGUUUGAAUUACUUCUAGUGCUCAAUCUUGGGUUGGCUUCUUGUUGCUAUGCAAGCUUUUCUGUCAAGUGUACUGCACAACAUUCUGAUCUGAAAGCCAGUUGGCGAGAGUUGCUUGCUUAGAAUGAUAAUACUUUUGAUUUCAUUUUAAAGUUAAAGGAUUGUUUUAUGAAGUGUUGUCCUUAGCCUUAAGGCUCUAAAUAGUGCCAUUUUGGACCACUGAAUGAUCAUCUUUGAUAGAGAAGGAAAAGUGUCUUAUUUGCAGAUUGUCUUUAGAUGACUGACUUAAAGAACGUGCUCUUUGGAUGGGAAAACUUCAGAUCGGCAGGACUGUAUCUCCAGCUUUGAAUUCCUAUCCAGUCCUAAGGAAAUCCUGUUGCAUUACUGACAGCUGAUGCAUCAAGUGAAGUUUGAUGAUAGCAAAAAUCUCUAUUGGUGGAGUCUACAGGCUGCAGACAAACCUUGAGGAAGGUCUCCUAUAGCAGCAUGAAAGGUUUGUGUGUUCAUCUGCCUGUUUCUACAUCUAUCUUUUAUGAUGUCGACUAUCUCUGAACUGAGAAGAGAUGAAAAAGAGAUUUCAUUAGAGGAAGGGAUGGAAUAAGAUGGGAGGUAGAAGAGGAUAGGAAAAGCAUACAUUUGCAUGCAAUGAAACUUCAGUAUCAAAG
rnacentral:lncRNA from 1 species